rnacentral:rRNA from 1 species
GACGAACGCUGGCGGCGUGCUUAACACAUGCAAGUCGAACGGAAGGCCCUGCUUUUGUGGGAUGCUCGAGUGGCGAACGGGUGAGUAACACGUGAGUAACCUGCCCUUGACUUUGGGAUAACUUCAGGAAACUGGGGCUAAUACCGGAUAGGAGCUCCUGCUGCAUGGUGGGGGUUGGAAAGUUUCGGCGGUUGGGGAUGGACUCGCGGCUUAUCAGCUUGUUGGUGGGGUAGUGGCUUACCAAGGCUUUGACGGGUAGCCGGCCUGAGAGGGUGACCGGCCACAUUGGGACUGAGAUACGGCCCAGACUCCUACGGGAGGCAGCAGUGGGGAAUAUUGCACAAUGGGCGGAAGCCUGAUGCAGCAACGCCGCGUGCGGGAUGACGGCCUUCGGGUUGUAAACCGCUUUCGCCUGUGACGAAGCGUGAGUGACGGUAAUGGGUAAAGAAGCACCGGCUAACUACGUG